UACGGGGGGGGCAAGCGUUGUUCGGAAUUACUGGGCGUAAAGGGCUCGUAGGCGGCCAACUAAGUCAGACGUGAAAUCCCUCGGCUUAACCGGGGAACUGCGUCUGAUACUGGUUGGCUUGAGUGUGGGAGAGGGAUGCGGAAUUCCAGGUGUAGCGGUGAAAUGCGUAGAUAUCGGGAGGAACACCUGUGGCGAAAGCGGCUCACUGGACCACAACUGACGCUGAUGCACGAAAGCUAGGGGAGCAAACAGG
rnacentral:rRNA from 1 species